CCCCUAGAUGUUCUGGGCCGCACGCGCGCUACACUGAACAGUUCAACAAGUCUUAACCUUGGCCGAUAGGUCUGGGUAAUCUUUGAACGCUGUUCGUGAUUGGGAUAGACCUUUGCAAUUAUGGGUCUUCAACGAGGAAUUCCUAGUAAACGCAAGUCAUCAGCUUGCAUUGAUUACGUCCCUGCCCUUUGUACACACCGCCCGUCGCACCUACCGAUUGAAUGGUCCGGUGAAUAAUUCGGACUGCAGCAGUGCUUGGUCCUCCGGGCUUUGCAGUGGAAAGUUUAGUGAACCUUAUCACUUAGAGGAAGGAGAAGUCGUAACA
rnacentral:rRNA from 1 species